GCUCGACCUCCAGCAGCUGGUUAGGGAUAUCUGAGCUUAGAGAUAAGGGUUUACACCUAUUUUUCACUUUCUCUCUCUAAAUUCUCUAUUGAAGUGAUAAACUAGUACCUUAGACCUAGUUUCAUUUUCCCUUUCGAUGUUAGCAAGCUGGGAGGGCUUUGGACCUGUGGUAGAGGGAAGGAAAAGGUGUUCUGGAGAACGCUUUGCAGCCUGAGCACAGCCGUGACUGGUUUGAUACAUCGGAAAGCUGGUUGAGGAAGGAAAUUGGUAGCUGUAGCAGGGUAUUUAUGAUACCCUUACUCAGUUGGAGCUAAGCUAUUAACCUUAGAAGCAGAGUUGCCGCAGGAACCUUAACUCCUGCACCUGAAUUUUGAGGGUUCUAGCAGCAGACAUUGAAGACUAAUGAUCGACUUCGAGCUCAGAGAAAAUCAGUUAGAGCUUAGAUAAGGGAAGGGAAGAUACGUAGCUAAAAUCUGAGACGAGGUUAUUGGACUAUAUUCGGCUAAGGAUUGAAGGCUUUUGGAGCUGAAUUUUGGUACGUUAACCUGAUCUAAACCAGGGGAUCAACUAUCGUAGAGUACAAGGGCUUUCGGAGAAUUGUGAAGAUCCAUACCCAUAGGUCGAACGUGAAUCGUCGGUUAAUAGGUAGGUUUGACCUCACCAGAGUAAGUGAAUUCCCCUAUGUUCUAUAUGAUACUAUAGGACUAUUAAUUAUAUGCAAUUGAAUCACUUUGGCGGUUUUAUUUGAAGGCAUUGACAAUCAACUCAACUUGAUAUUUAACAGUGAGUGAUUUUGUUAUGUUCUAAUAAAGUAGAGAACAAAUUAUUCGAUUGUGACCUGACCAGUGUUGUAUUAUUAAAAGACAAGUUUACCUUGCGAAUAACACAUGUAAAUUAGCAUCUUUAUUAUGUGGUUAUUGAUCUAGUGGAUACUAGCAUUUCUUAUUGUACAGAGAAUCCGACCUAUUGGCCGAGAGUAAAAAACUUACAUACUUGAUAUAUGAUGAUUGAAGCGGUUGGACUAUGAUUUAUGCUUGUUUGCCAUUGUGUUCAUUCGCACAAACUUGUGAGAGUCGCGCCCUACAAGCCGGUACUCCGGAGUUGGCCUACGCGACAGAUUGCUCACCCGUGCGGGAUUGAGUGCUGAAGUGGAUUACCGUGGGGAGUGCAUACUACCACCGGGCCAUUAGGCCCGGCGCAAGCUGGACUACCUUAUAGCCACCUACUACAGGAGAGGCUAGGGAUCGUGGCAAGGGAGUCGUGUCUAGCUAGAUAUAGCUUGGAGCUUGUCUAGAUGAUCACCUUGCUACUCGGGCUACGGCCGAGGGUGAUGUACCCGUGUAUAGAAAGACUACCAUUGUAUAUAUAUUUUGAGUGACCUUGUGAUGUAUUUACGGUUUGUACCUGGGAUGACAGUUUUGGUGUUUCUCUGUGGAAUAGAAGAAUUCGGGACUGUACAGACUUGCACUCUCUUCUGAUAGUGGUAUUAUUGAUUUGUACUUUGCUCGGAUAUCA